UUUUAUGGAGAGUUUGAUCCUGGCUCAGGAUAAACGCUGGCGGCGUGCCUAAUACAUGCAAGUCGAGCGAACGGACGAGAAGCUUGCUUCUCUGAUGUUAGCGGCGGACGGGGGAGUAACACGUGGAUAACCUACCUAUAAGACUGGGAUAACUUCGGGAAACCGGAGCUAAUACCGGAUAAUAUUUUGAACCGCAUGGUUCAAAAGUGAAAGACGGUCUUGCUGUCACUUAUAGAUGGAUCCGCGCUGCAUUAGCUAGUUGGUAAGGUAACGGCUUACCAAGGCAACGAUGCAUAGCCGACCUGAGAGGGUGAUCGGCCACACUGGAACUGAGACACGGUCCAGACUCCUACGGGAGGCAGCAGUAGGGAAUCUUCCGCAAUGGGCGAAAGCCUGACGGAGCAACGCCGCGUGAGUGAUGAAGGUCUUCGGAUCGUAAAACUCUGUUAUUAGGGAAGAACAUAUGUGU
rnacentral:rRNA from 1 species